rnacentral:rRNA from 1 species
UACAGAGGUCUCAAGCGUUGUUCGGAAUCACUGGGCGUAAAGGGCGCGUAGGCGGCCUGCUAAGUCGGAUGUGAAAUCCCUGGGCUCAACCCAGGAACUGCGUCCAAGACUGGGAGGCUUGAAUCCGGGAGAGGGAUGCGGAAUUCCAGGUGUAGCGGUGAAAUGCGUAGAUAUCUGGAGGAACACCGGUGGCGAAGGCGGCAUCCUGGACCGGUAUUGACACUGAGGCGCGAAAGCCAGGGGAGCAAACGGG